AGGGAUUGCCCCAGUAACGGCGAGUGAAGCGGCACCAGCUCAAAUUUGAAAUCUGGGGCCCUCGGCCUCCGAGUUGUAAUUUGGAGAGGCAUCCUUCUGGGGGGAGCGCCGGCCCAUGUUCCUUGGAACAGGACGUCACAGAGGGUGAGAAUCCCGUGUGAGGCAGGCUGCCUCCUCCCGUGUGAAGGGCCUUCGACGAGUCGAGUUGUUUGGGAAUGCAGCUCCAAGUGGGUGGUAAAUUUCAUCUAAAGCUAAAUACCGGCGGGAGACCGAUAGCGCACAAGUAGAGUGAUCGAAAGAUGAAAAGCACUUUGAAAAUAGAGUCAAAAAGUACGUGAAAUUGUUGAAAGGGAAGCGCUUGAGACCAGACUCAGGCCCGGGCAAACACCGCGCCCCUUGGGGCCGUGCAAUUGCCCGGGGCUGGGCCAGCAUCAGUUGGUGUGGCGGGACAAAGGCGCAGGCAAUGUGGCUCCCCUCGAGGAGUGUUAUUAGGCCCGCGCUCAAUGCCGCCGACGUCGACUGAGGACCGCGCCUCGGCUAGGAUGCUGGCUCAAUGGCCUUCAGCGACCCGUCUUGAAACACGGACCAAGGAGUCUAACAUCUAUGCGAGUGUUUGGGCGUCAAACCCUUGCGCGUAAUGAAAGU
rnacentral:rRNA from 1 species